UGCAAGUCCCCAGUUUAGACUGGCUGAGUCACUGCAUCACCCUGUGACAGCAGGAUUGCUUGGCUGGGAAGAUGACGCGAUGACAUGACAGGUACUUGAAACAACAACAAUUGUUCCCUUUGACGUUCAGCUGAGGCACUUAAGACUCCACUGAAAAGAAAAUCAUCACCGAUCAAGUCUGCAGAUGACCCAAAGAUUGGGAGCGUGAUAAGUAAUGAAGAGGACAAAGUGAUCAGGAUCAUUUGGACACCAUGGAAACCUCUGCCAAUCACCAUCACAAACAGCGACUUCCCUGCUUUCAGCAAACACCGCGCUGACCCCGCCUUUGGUGACCUGGCACGGAGCUGGGCAGACACAGGUGUAAUAUGGCAGCCUGGGCAUGCCUCUGUCACAUUCCUCUGCCACAUGGAAGUUGUGGUGGCCACAUACACAGUGUCUCCCCCCACCCCCAAUGGCUGCUUUUCUAGCUCCUCUCGUCUCUUCCAGACCUUCUGCAUGUGAGUUAAUUAAACCAGCUUAG